CCUCCCUUGGCACAGCUUCAAAGCCUUGUUGGCAUCUGCUCUCUCUUGUCCUUGCCCAUCUGGCUGGCGCUGCCGUGUUGCUCACUGGCCUGUCUGUGGGAGAAGAGGCUGUGCCAAUGAGUGCUGCUCAACUUUGAGGCCAUCCAAAGGAGGAUUUGAUUGUGCCUGCUGUGGGAAGGAAGAUGCGUGCACAUGGCCACUUCCCAUAGGUUUUACCGCAGAUUUUCAUCAACAGCUGUCCUACUGAAAGUAAAGUCUGUUUUAGAAUUGCUUCUGUGUUACUUCACAUCAUCCAUUAAAAAUUUGAUGCCUGGAAAAA